AUUCGUGUGCAUCUAGUUUUGCAAAAAAUAUGACUUUAAAUUAUACUUACUCAAGAAGCAUGAAAAAUGAAUUAUAUAUUUGGAUAGUGGUUAUGAUGCUCUAAACUAGCUGCAUUGUUGAUGCCCCACUACGGAUCGAAAAUAUAGUACUUAUUUAUGCCUCAUCAUAUGUCAGAAAUAUAGUACUAUAUUGAUGCCCCAUAACAAACUGAAACUAUGGUACUUGUUGAAGCCCCACAACAGAUUGGAAAUGCGGUAUUGUUAAUGCCCAACCACAAGCCGAAAAUGCAAUACCUAUUGAUGCCUCACCAUAGAUUGAAAAUGUUGUAUUGUUGAUAUCCCACCAUAGGCCAAAAACAUGGUCAUGAUUAGAUCAGAAACAAAGAUAAUUAUUUAGCAUCAUUGUUGCAUGAAAAAAUAUUUUAAUACCAUGUGAUAUAUGUUAUGCCCCAAAUCCAAUACCCA
rnacentral:lncRNA from 1 species